UCCGGUUUGGCACCGGCAGUCCUCCCAGAGUCCCCGCCAUGACGCGCUGGCAACUGGGAGCGGGGGUUGCGCUCGUUGCGGGACUUAACCCAACAUCUCACGACACGAGCUGACGACAGCCAUGCACCACCUGUGAUCCUGCCCCGAAGGGAAACCCUGUUUCCAGGGUGGUCAGGAACAUGUCAAGCCCUGGUAAGGUUCUUCGCGUUGCGUCGAAUUAAGCCACAUGCUCCGCCGCUUGUGCGGGCCCCCGUCAAUUCCUUUGGGUUUUAGCCUUGCGGCCGUACUCCCCAGGCGGGGUGCUUAAUGCGUUAGCUGCGGCACGGAGAACGUGGAAGGUCCCCCACACCUAGCGCCCAACGUUUACGGCGUGGACUAC
rnacentral:misc_RNA from 1 species